AUAGAAUUUUGACUAGCAUUCACCAAGGAUGAACUGAAAGCAGGAUCUGUCUCACCAUACACUGAGAACUGUAGAAUAUGCAAGGCACAUGGAACUUAUUUUCUUACGUAUAAAAGCGUGUAUAUGCUCCUUAUACAUCUGUCCUAAUGCUUUCCAACAGUCCUCACUCUAAGCCUCACCAAGACCCAGAUGAGGAAACAAAGGCACAGAGGGAUAAACUCAGAGCAGGAAGACAGCAAGGAAUAGCAGUGAAAAGCAUGGUGCUUAAUCCAACCCCUUACUCACUGCUGAGACCUGGAAAUGUGUUCAUCAGCUACAAAACAGGAGAGAUGAUAACUCAUUAUGUAUAUGUGAUGAUAAACAGAGACAAUAUAUUGAAGAGCUUAUAUGAGUGGCAGACACGGGACAUGCUUCCCUGUGGCUGGCCAGCGUGUCAUCUUCUCCAUGUGUCCAGAGAAAAGCUUUGCAAAUCAACCUCUCGAUGAAUGAUGACGGCACCAGUGAAAUCAGGGGAGGCAGAAAAUCAUGUUAGUUUGGUUUAUAAUGCAAGAAGUUACAGAACACAGAGUGCUCAAAACUAAGAAUGUGCUAGUUGUAUAACAGGGUCCUUCUUGGGACUCAGCCAGGAUUCAAACUAUAAAGGAAAAUCGGGUGAGCAGGUGGGAUAGUCAAGUGAUUCUAUUUGCAUGAAUAAUUUUGUGAGAUGAUACCUUCUUGUCCAGGAACAUUGAGCAGUGCUCGUGCUGGGUGGAUUGUGAUGUGGAAACCCUGGGAGAUGUCACGUCUGACAUCAACUUUCUCCCAGGUGACAGCUGCACCCUCUAAAGGCUUCUCAAAUGACAGAGCUCAAUGAAUAUAGAAGGGAAAAGUAUGAGGAUGACCUAUGAGCACAGGGUGGACAGUCUCUGCGGUGGGCAGGCAUUAGCAAAGGAGAGACCUUCUGUAUUAUGCAGUCUAGAGUGGAAUUUUCCAGAGGCUACAUGAUGAGUGACGUCACGACAGAUUGAGUACAGAGCCAACUAUGAGAAUCCAGCUGCCUUCUAUUAAGGUACCCUUUCUGUGGAUACCUUCAAGUUCCAGCACCAAAUAUGAAGGCGACUGCCAUCACCAGCUCCCACCCCUACAUGAGGUCAAAUCCCUGGAUGGCAUAUAACACACUAGAGCAAUUAAGAGGAUCUAACUAAAGGUGGGGAAGGAAAAAUGUGUGUACAGAGACAGGAAGUCAUGGACACAGUUAUAUUGAAAGAUACAAUGACCUCC
ensembl:lncRNA